rnacentral:tRNA from 1 species
UGGACAGCUCAGUAGGUAGAGCACGAGUCUCUUAAUCUCAGGGUAGUGGGUUCGAGCCCGACAUUGGACAA